rnacentral:rRNA from 1 species
UACGGAGGGUGCAAGCGUUGUUCGGAAUUAUUGGGCGUAAAGCGCGUGUAGGCGGCUUUGCAAGUCGGGUGUGAAAGCCCUCGGCUCAACCGAGGAAGUGCGCCCGAAACUGCAGAGCUUGAGUACCGGAGAGGAUGGCGGAAUUCCCCAAGUAGAGGUGAAAUUCGUAGAUAUGGGGAGGAACACCGGUGGCGAAGGCGGCCAUCUGGACGGAUACUGACGCUGAGACGCGAAAGCGUGGGUAGCAAGCAGG